AUUCAGUCAUAGGAUAAUACAAAAUUAAAACACCGUAUAGUAGCAGGAGGGUUAACAUCGCAAGUUUUUUGUUUUCAACCCUAUCCAUACUAAUCUAUUGCAGUGUCAUUUUGCGAGUACAUAUAUAUAUUUGAGAAAUUUAUCUUGAACCGCUGGAUAUUUGGUAUGUUCUGUGAAGAAAACACGAAACUGUGAAGUAUGGAUUCCUGUCAUAUUU